GAAUUGUCAAGAUACACCCACAUGCUUACAUUACAUGAAUUUGGAAAACCCACCAUCCCCUCUCACUCAGAUAUGCCCCCCUACACAUGUCUUCUUCUUUCACUGUUAAUAAUCUUUCUUUAUACAUUGAACUUUCCCUUCCCAUCUUCUCCUAUAAUUAACAAACAAGGAUUUCCAUUUUCUCUCAUAUAUUUUCUGUUCUCUCUCUUUCUCUGAUAUCUCUCAAUGUCAAUGGAAAUGGUGGUUUCAAGUUUCUCAGAGGAGGUGUAUCUUUCUUCUGCAAUCUUUAUGUUUGUUUGUCUGUAUCUUUUCUUGGUGGUUCUGGAAUCUCCUUGGAGCAAUAAUGCAGCAUCUUGGUUGAAUCAAGACUUUUGCUUUCCUUCACUUGCAGAAAAAAUGACAUCUGUGGUUGAUUCUAGUUGCAUAGCAAAUACCAGCUGCUGAGAAUGAAAAUUCUCAUCUUCUUUAGUUGUUGUGCUUGGCUAGCUUGAUGCAUUGGAAAUAAAAAAGAAAAUGGAGACUUGGGGAGCAAUUUUGAUUCAUCAAUCUUUCAAAUACGAUCCUCUCAGAUCUUGCAGAGUAUAAAAAAUACGUAUGUAAAGCAUUAGGCCAGAGAGGAUUUUAAUUUCAUGAUAUUGACUCAUGUAGCUUUUGUAUUCAAAAUCCAGCAGGCACUAUUAUUAUUAUUAUUAUU
rnacentral:misc_RNA from 1 species